AAUCAUGCUGUCUGCCUUGCAGCUACAAAAUCCUGUUAGCACAGGCUCAGAAGAGAUGCAGAGGAGAUCAGCCCAGGUCAAGAAAUGAAACAUGAUGAUGUGGUUUUGAAACAAUUAUUCCAGAGGACCAUACACCUUUGCAUCUGGAUUUGCAGAUGUCUUUGGCCAAGUUAGAUGAUGAGAGCAGCUGGACAUGCCCUGCAGGUACUGUGGCCCCUGGAGAGCUGUCACUGGAGCAGAUUUGUUUGAACAAGAGGAGGAAUAGGGAGGGUCCUUAAUC